AGUGGUCGUGGCUAUCGUGAGUAUGGGCAGUAGUAAAGGGGGCAGGGAGGCGUUUCUAGCGUCGGUAGCGCAGGGGUGCAAUCGAUGGUGGUGGAGGUGGUGGUGACGUGGUGGUGACGAGGAAGGGUGGAGAGAAAUGCUGGAAUUGUUGGGGAGAUGGGCUGGGGGAACUAGUCAGACAAGCCCUUGAUUAGUAGCGAGGAUUAUUAUCGCCGCUUGUUGACUAAUAUGACCAUGGCGUGGUAUAGUGGUAGUAGAAGCAGUAGCAGGAGUGUUGGUGAUGGGGAUGCUGCUGGGAAGAGACCAUCCCGAGUCGCCUAGCCGUAGCCAUGGUUGGGUGACAGCGUGCUUCGGCUGGCGCGAGUGGAGUGGUUUGUCGACGAAGGAGGUGAGAUGUUGCGGUGGGGUGGAGCGUCGUCGUCGUCGGAGCGGGAGUGGUGAGAGUUGGGGUGGGGUGUUUGGGGUUGGAGUUUUGAUGGAGUUUGGAGUGAAGGUGGUGAGGAUAUGGCUGUGUGGAUGUGGGUGUAGCUUGGCAUGACGAGGGGGAGGGAGACGCUGGGGGACGACGCUAUGAAAGGGGAGCGCAGGUUGCUCGGGUGGGCUCUCGCCGUGAGCUUAGUGGCGUUGCUGUCGUGUCGGAGUUGCUGUGGGCUGUCCCCAGAUGGGAUAGCGCUGCUUGAGCUCAAGGCCAGCUUGAACGACCCGUAUGGGCACUUGAGGGACUGGAAUUCCGAGGACGAGUUCCCGUGCGAAUGGACUGGGGUGUUCUGCCCUAGCAGCUUGCAGCACCGAGUGUGGGAUGUAGAUCUCUCCGAGAAGAACUUGUCAGGUACUAUCUCUUCCAGCAUUGGAAAGCUUGUGGCCCUCCGAAACCUCAAUCUGUCGUCGAAUCGGCUCACAGGGCACAUUCCUCCGGAAAUCGGGGGACUGUCGCGUUUGGUUUUCCUAGACUUAAGCACGAAUAAUCUAACGGGGAACAUCCCGGGUGACAUUGGCAAGCUGCGAGCCCUGGUCAGCCUCUCCCUGAUGAAUAAUAAUCUUCAGGGACCUAUACCUACUGAAAUUGGGCAAAUGAGGAACCUUGAGGAGUUGCUGUGCUACACCAACAACCUGACGGGUCCUUUACCGGCGUCAUUAGGGAACUUGAAGCACCUGCGGACAAUUCGAGCUGGUCAGAAUGCUAUAGGAGGUCCCAUUCCUGUUGAGUUGGUGGGCUGUGAGAACCUCAUGUUUUUCGGUUUUGCCCAGAACAAGCUGACGGGCGGAAUACCACCACAACUCGGCCGUUUGAAGAAUCUGACGCAACUGGUGAUAUGGGAUAAUCUGUUAGAAGGAACGAUACCGCCGCAGUUGGGCAAUCUCAAGCAGCUUCGGCUGCUAGCGCUCUACCGUAACGAACUUGGGGGACGCAUUCCACCCGAGAUAGGAUACCUCCCCUUGCUAGAGAAAUUGUACAUUUAUUCUAAUAAUUUCGAGGGACCCAUUCCUGAAAGCUUCGGUAACCUAACAUCUGCUCGAGAGAUCGACCUUUCGGAGAAUGAUUUAGUCGGCAAUAUUCCUGAAUCUCUAUUCCGAUUGCCCAAUUUGAGAUUGUUGCACUUGUUUGAGAAUAACCUUUCCGGGACGAUUCCAUGGUCUGCUGGACUUGCACCAAGCCUUGAGAUUCUGGAUCUCUCGCUCAAUUAUUUAACCGGAUCCCUCCCGACGUCUCUCCAGGAAUCUUCGAGCCUAACCAAAAUUCAACUGUUUAGCAACGAAUUGUCAGGUGACAUCCCUCCUUUGCUCGGCAACUCAUGCACGCUCACCAUCCUAGAACUGUCAUAUAACUCUAUCACAGGGAGAAUCCCGCCGAAAGUAUGUGCCAUGGGUUCCUUGAUCUUGCUACAUCUGUCAUAUAACCGGUUGACGGGGACCAUCCCCAAGGAGAUAUUCGAUUGCUUGUCCCUGGAGCAGCUCUACGUCGAUUUUAAUUUUUUGUCGGGCGAGCUUCUGCUGGAGGUUCGAGCUCUUCAAAAUUUGCAGCAAUUGGACAUCAGGAGCAAUCAAUUUAGUGGCAUCAUCCCGUCUGAAAUUGGGGAGCUCUCUCAGUUACAAGUUCUCUCCAUCGCCGAAAACCAUUUCGUGAAGACGUUGCCGAAAGAGAUAGGCCUACUAUCUGAGCUUGUCUUCCUGAACGUCUCUUGCAAUUCUUUGACAGGCUUAAUACCUGUUGAGAUUGGUAACUGUUCUCGACUCCAGCAGUUAGAUCUGAGUCGUAAUUUUUUCAGUGGGAGCUUCCCCACGGAGAUUGGGAGUUUGAUCAGCAUUUCUGCCCUAGUUGCCGCGGAGAAUCAUAUAGAAGGCUCCAUCCCCGACACACUGAUCAACUGCCAAAAGUUACAGGAGCUUCACUUGGGCGGUAACUAUUUCACAGGAUAUAUCCCCUCCUCCUUGGGAAAGAUUUCUUCUCUGAAGUAUGGAUUGAACCUCAGCCACAACGCUCUCAUUGGCAGGAUUCCAGAUGAAUUAGGAAAACUUCAGUAUCUCCAGAUACUGGACUUAUCAACCAACCGCUUGACGGGGCAGGUUCCAGUCUCCCUUGCAAAUCUCACCAGUAUCAUCUAUUUCAACGUCUCCAAUAAUCAACUCUCGGGGCAGCUACCAUCUACAGGUCUCUUCGCAAGGCUAAACGAGAGCAGUUUCUACAACAAUUCAGUUUGUGGAGGUCCAGUUCCAGUAGCAUGUCCACCCGCGGUGGUCAUGCCGGUGCCGAUGACGCCUGUGUGGAAAGACUCGAGUGUUUCAGCAGCUGCUGUGGUGGGUAUAAUCGCGGGUGUGGUCGGUGGUGCUUUGUUGAUGAUAUUAAUCGGGGCGUGUUGGUUCUGUCGGCGUCCACCUUCUGCUAGACAAGUAGCCAGCGAGAAGGACAUAGACGAGACGAUAUUUCUGCCCAGGGCAGGGGUGACAUUACAAGACAUUGUGACCGCCACCGAAAAUUUCAGUGAUGAAAAAGUGAUAGGAAAGGGUGCAUGUGGGACAGUGUACAAAGCGCAAAUGCCUGGCGGUCAGCUAAUAGCGGUCAAGAAGGUUGCGACUCAUCUAGACUCAGGUUUGACUCAACAUGAUAGUUUUACUGCGGAGAUCAAGACUUUGGGUAAGAUCCGGCACCGGAAUAUCGUGAAGCUCUUGGGGUUUUGCUCAUACCAGGGAUACAAUCUCCUCAUGUAUGAUUACAUGCCGAAGGGGAGCUUGGGGGAGCAUUUAGUGAAGAAGGACUGCGAGCUGGACUGGGAUCUAAGAUACAAGAUCGCUGUGGGUAGUGCCGAAGGUCUGGAGUAUUUGCAUCAUGAUUGCAAGCCGUUAAUCAUUCAUCGCGACAUCAAGUCCAACAAUAUUCUUUUGAAUGAACGCUACGAGGCGCAUGUUGGAGACUUUGGCCUGGCGAAGCUGAUCGAUUUGGCUGAGACGAAAUCGAUGUCUGCAAUAGCAGGGUCGUAUGGUUACAUCGCACCUGAGUAUGCGUAUACUAUGAAUGUAACAGAGAAGAGUGAUAUCUACAGCUUUGGCGUUGUGCUGCUUGAAUUGCUUACUGGGAGGCGUCCAAUUCAACCUGUCGAUGAAGGAGGCGAUCUGGUGACGUGGGUGAAGGAGGCCAUGCAGUUGCACAAGUCCGUGAGCCGAAUCUUUGACAUCCGAUUGGACUUGACAGACGUUGUUAUUAUCGAGGAGAUGUUGUUGGUUCUCAGAGUAGCCCUGUUUUGUACAAGUAGUUUGCCGCAGGAAAGGCCCACCAUGAGGGAGGUCGUUAGAAUGCUGAUGGAAGCCAGCACGAGAAAAGCUCGAGACUCCACAGACUCGCAGUCCGAAACUCAAGGCAGGGAGUCGGUCUCUGAUGGGACCAUCACAGAUGGCACUUUGACCAUCGCCGAUGAUACUUUGACAGACAGCAUCACUGUGGCGAGUGAUACCGACAACACUAUCUCCGUGAAGGAUGCAUCUGGGAAGACCAACUCUGAUAAACCAUGAAGUGUUGGUUGGCCUCCCUGGUACAAGGGCAAGGCAGGAAUGGGACCCUAAACCCUGAUCAAAUGUGGUUCAUAAAGCUUCUGCAUUCGAUAGUAUCGUUGGCUCCUCAUCGAUUAUGACAUGCGGAUCAGCGACUUCUGCUUAUUAACCAACAGACCAUAUUCUUCUGGCACAUUCUUGCACAUUCUGUCGAAGUUGCUUACAGCGUUCUGUAGGAAGUGUGAAGGGAUUUUACAGAAUUGGAAGUACAAGUCGCAAGAAUUUAAUAGUUGUCAUGUCCAAGGCGUGCGGCAACUACAUUCGCUCCUUGUACUGCCAACGGAAGUGUUGGUUUCAGCAGAAAGAGGUACUUGAAAUUACUUCUCAGAUACCUGUGGACUCAGAAUGACGAUCAGAAGUUCUGUCAUUCUUGCUGUUGAACGAGCAGACGAAAUUGUUUGGGUUGGUAAAGACUUGUGUCCAUUCAGGUCUCGUGCUCCAUUAACAGGAGGAGAAACACAAGGAGAAUUUUAGUACAGUAGAGUGGAAAAGUUUCUCAUGUGGCCAAAGCUUGGAGAGAAAAUUUGUAUUUCUCUUAUGACAAAUGGAUUCACAACCUUAUAUCCUUACAACUGGGUAUAAUGGAUGAGAAAGUGGAAGUACAUUCAGACAUGUAUUUGUUUCAGGUAUGGAUGGAUGUUGAUGGAGAAUUAAUGCGGAAGAGAAAUACAGAACUGUGUACGAGUCCAAUUAAAUGAGUUUACGAAUUGUAGAGAUUUACGGAAAUUAUUUAUUAACAUUUAGUAAUCGAAGAUUAGUUAUAUAGUUUGAGUGAUUUACGUAUGAAAUAACAGAAAGUAUUCUCAAUGAAAUUGUUUAGAAAACUGAAAGAAUUGUCAUGAAAGUACGCCGUGAUUGAUGGAGUUGUUAGCGGUUAUUAGAGCAGUAGGAUGUGGAUUACUUUUCCUUUUAAUCACAUAUUAUGAUA